UCUUUUUAUAAACGAGUAAAAGCCAUAUGUCUAUUGACUAUUAUUGUAGAAGUCAUCUUGAUGAUGAAGAGUAAUCACCCCAUUAAUGAAUGAAAGUUACCCUGUCUAAUUGUCUAUUAUUAAAAAUCAGUCUGUCAAUAAAGAAAAAUCCUUCGUCUAGUUUUAAUAUCACCUUUAAGAAACUGAAGGCUUAAUAAUUUACUUCAUCCUCUGCCUCACUAAUUAAACAAGGUCUUUCUCAACCUAGAGGAGGCUUCUGUGGUUUGCAUCUGUGUCAAAAAUAGCUGGAACAUCCAAACUUCGUAAUGAAUUUCUUGCACACAGAGAGAUUAAAAAGAUGGAAGUGCAGAAUGUUACGGGUGUAAUUGGUUUGUUUAUUUUUAGUGGUCAUGCUUAUGAAGCGUGUGUCUUAAGUGAUGCUCCUGUUAUGCCAUAGAUAUCAUAAAUUUUUGGAUUUCCUUUAUCUCCAAGUUCCCUGUGGCAUAGCUGGAUCUAAUUGAAUCACGGUCAACACGUACAAGAACUUAUGGCAAGCAUACCCAGGCCCGGCUAAGGCCCUGUGCAGAGUGAGCAACUGCACAGAGCCCCAAAAAAUGUGAGGGCCCAAUUUUGUGUGUUGACCGCCCAAAGAUAAAAAAGAAAAAUCAGUGUCAAGAAUUACGCGUUAAACUUCACAUAUACCACAAUUCACGCUUCCCUAAUUCCUCCGCCUCUUCGGCUCUUUAGAUUCUCCAAAACCCAUUAAUGACGCCUUCUCCAAAACCCUAUUAAUGGCACCAUUAAAUAAAUUGUUGGAGAUAAACAUUUAUUAACCCUCUUCUGCAUAAAUAGGAAACCAAAACCCACAAUUUAUCAAAUGCAAUGACUAUGAAAUUUUACAGAGAGAAGGGAAAUCACAGUAAUCAAGGUUGAGAAAAAGAUGGUUUUUCUUCGACUUGAAUAUAUUGAGGGUUUUUACAAUUCAUUGUUGAUACCUUGGUUUGCCAUCAAAGAAAAAGUUUUGGUUGAGUUUGACUUUGCUUCUUCAUACUAAUGUUCUGGAAAAGCAACGAUUUUGUAAGUUUCUUGCAAAGUGAGUGUUGGAUACAAUUCUAAGUACUUGGAAAAUAUAAUUUCUUUCUAAUGACACCUGUUCUUAAUCUUGUCUCUCUUUAAUCCUCUGUAAAUUUACAGAAAGAGCAGAGGAUCGGUGAACUUAAAUCAUAGAAGAAUUUCGAUUUUUUCAUUUAUUAAUUGGACACUUUUUUUUAUAAUGAGUUAUGUGGUAGAUUUCGAUUUGCUGGUACAGUGGUAGUGGUCUGAUUGGUUCUAUAAAGAGUUUUGGGAGUAUCCUAUAAUGCUGCUAGAAAAGAAGCUCCGUCAUAACUCAACUUGUCUUGGUUUUCUUAAUCCCAAAUUAUAUGAUUUUCUUACUAAUUGUUCUAGAGUUUUUUUAGUUAUUUACUUUUUGGUAUGUAUAUAAUUACGUUUUUUUAACUUGUGGGAAUCAUUUCUAAUUUAGCACAGGGCCCCUAAAUUAUACGAGACGGGCCUGAGCAUACCCCUCUGAUGUAUGGUUUUCCUCUUGCUCUACAAACAUCAACAUGAUCAAAAUCUAAAAUCUUGUAAUUGUAGAUUUAGAAUCUCUCGAUUACUUGUUUUAUCUUCUGUCGUUCCUUGUCAUAUUUUUUGUGAAGUUCUUAAAAAUGUUCAUUGAAGACCCACUUUCCACUCUUUUCUUGUGGGGAGUAGCUUACCUUCAGAGUUAGGCCUGUAAAUUACUGCAUCUGAAACUCCCUUGGUGGAGAUGGAGAUGUGCUGUUAUGUUUCCAGGUACUAUGAAAGCACAUAAUAUCAUUUGUUUUUCACAUUAUUAUUCGAUAACUUGGAUGUACAUCACCGAUGGCUUGAUGUACAUCACCAAUGGCUUGAAAGUACAUCACUGAUUGAAAGCAUAACUACCAGAACACAGGAGCAUUAAUCAUCGCGGAAUUAGUUUUUACACGGAUGCCUAAUCUAUGGGGUUUGUAAAAUAAUAUAAUGAGGGCUGGGAGUCAUUGGAAAAGGGUCAACAGUUGUGGGAUUGUUUAGGACUUCGGGAACUUUCUCUUCACCUAAAUUUUGCUAAGCUUACUUGAACUUGUGUGAACUUAUUGGAGCUUAUUUUAUUACUUAUUGGAGCUUAGUUUAUGACUUUGAAUUUAUUUGAACAUAUUUCUAGAGUCACUAUAAUGUACGUAAGGGCUACUAUUGCUUUUAUCUAACUUUGUAGGGGGUUAUAUUUGCAAGAAAAACCCUUGAGAUUGGAUCAUUUUGUCCAUCUCUAAGAUGUGUUUAUCAUGAAUAUAUUUAAAAGUUUUAUCGA